rnacentral:rRNA from 1 species
AUUGAACGCUGGCGGCAGGCUUAACACAUGCAAGUCGAGCGGGGUGAUGGUGCUUGCACUAUCACUUAGCGGCGGACGGGUGAGUAAUGCUUAGGAAUCUGCCUAUUAGUGGGGGACAACAUCUCGAAAGGGAUGCUAAUACCGCAUACGUCCUACGGGAGAAAGCAGGGGAUCUUCGGACCUUGCGCGAAUAGAUGAGCCUAAGUCGGAUUAGCUAGUUGGUGGGGUACAGGCCCAUCAAUGAGACGAUCUGUAGCGGGUCUGAGAGGAUGAUCCGCCACCCUGGGACUUAGACACGGCCCAGACUCCUACGGGAGGAAGCAGUGGGGAAUAUUGAACAAUGGGGGGAACCCUGAUCCAGCCAUGCCGCGUGUGUGAAGAGGGCCUUAUGGUUGUAAAGCACUUUAAGCGAGGAGGAGGCUACUCUAGUUAAUACCUAGGGAUAGUGGACGUUACUCGCAGAAUAAGCACCGGCUAACUCUGUGCCAGCCGCCGCAGUAA